GCAAGUCGAGCGCGAAAGCUCCUUCGGGAGUGAGUAGAGCGGCGGACGGGUGAGUAACGCGUAAGAAUCUGCCCCUCAGUGAAGAAUACCCUCGAGAAAUCGGGGUUAAUGCUGCAUACGUCCCUUCGGGGAGAAAGAUGGCCUCUUUGCUGUUGCUGAGGGAUGAGCUUGCGUACUAUUAGCUUGUUGGUGGGGUAAAGGCCUACCAAGGCGAUGAUGGUUAGCCGGCCUGAGAGGGUGUAC
rnacentral:rRNA from 1 species